CCUCCUAUAGGAUAAUCUCUGGAAACACAGGAAUUUUGUUUUGUUUACUUCUGAAGCCCAAAGACUUGAGAAGAAACUGGGAGGUUAAAAAUAACAGACACUGGAAUCAGGAAGACGUAUCUCUUCUAUCUACCGUGGUGCUACUGAAUCUUCUGAUCCCAUUUCCUUACACACCACGUAUGGAAGACACACAGGCUUCACAGAUUUGCUGUCAGGAUUAAGUGUACAAAUGCAUCUGAAGUGUCCGGUCCAGUUCCUGGCACGUAAUCAUGCCUUAGGAAAGGAUGGCUAAGAUAAUAAAGUAGAACAUGAUAAAAGUCA